AGCAGCCGCGGUAAUUCCAGCUCCAAUAGCGUAUAUUAAAGUUGUUGCAGUUAAAAAGCUCGUAGUUGAAUUUCGGGAUCAAUACGUCGGUCGUGCUUCGGUACGUACUGGCGUCAUUGGUUUCUCCCUUCUGACGAACCAUGAUGUCAUUAACUUGGUGUCAUGGGAAAUCAGGACUGUUACUUUGAAAAAAUUAGAGUGUUUAAAGCAGGCUAACGCUUGAAUACAUUAGCAUGGAAUAAUGAAAUAGGACGUUCGAUCCUAUUUUGUUGGUUUCUAGGAUUGACGUAAUGAUUAAUAGGGAUAGUUGGGGGCAUUAGUAUUCAAUUGUCAGAGGUGAAAUUCUUGGAUUUAUUGAAGACUAACUACUGCGAAAGCAUUUGCCAAGGAUGUUUUCAUUAAUCAAGAACGAAAGUUAGGGGAUCGAAGACGAUCAGAUACCGUCGUAGU
rnacentral:rRNA from 1 species